AAUGUUUUUACUAAAUUCCCCAUUCUCUCUGCUGCCCCCGCUGUCGGCAGGGGUGAGGGACUAUAAAACCAGGACGUGGUGUGCCUCACUCAGACUCUACAACAUGAAAGAACCAAGAGGAUCACGUCUCUUUGAGCUCUGAAUAACACUGAACACAUGUCC